AUGCUCAAAGUAUAUGUGAAGGCAGUUUUUCAGUGUCUUAAGAAGCAGCCUCUAGACCAGCUCUCAGAGAUGAAGUCAGCUGUUCUCCUCAUAUGGGUGCUGCUAUUCUGGGUCCCAGGUGAGAGGGUUCAGAGAAGUGUUAGAAACAUCUGCGGAAGACAUGGCUGUAUUCAGUGUCUCUGGGAUCUUGAUCAUUGGAAUUACAGCAUUUGUAAUUUGUUAUUUCCUUUCCCAGGUUCCCUUUUAUUUUCUAAUACCUCAGAGUGAUAUUUGUGACACUUGUAACUUGAGUCACAUGUCUCACUCUGAGAUGGUUUCAGUCUAUAUGCAACAGUAGUUUUUGUGUCUUUAUCAUUGCAGGUUCCACUUGGAACAAUGUGCUGAUCCAGUCUCCAGCUUCCUUGGCUGUGACUUUGGGACAAAAAGUCACCAUCUCCUGCAGGGCCAGUGACAGUGUCAAUAAAUUUGUCAUAAAUCUUAUGCCCUGGUAUCAACAGAAACCAGGAAAGCUUCUGAUCUAUAAUGAAUUCUGUUGAGCACCUGGGAUUCCUGCCAGAAUCAGUGGUGAUGAGGCUGAAUUAAAACGUCACCCUCACCAUUCAUCCUGUGGGAGCUGAUGAUGUUGCAACCUAUUACUGUCAUCAAGGGCUAAUGUUUCCUCCCACAGCCCUUUAUGUCUAA